GAAACAGGAAUGGGACUGGAGGAGGGGUGGGGGUGGGGUGCAGCUCUCAGUGAAUUAGGUCUUUUCUAUAGAUUCCAUAAGACUACAUAAUGAGCCGCUUUUUCUGCCUCCUGGUCGCUCAGCUACUGCUCUGACCUCCCAGGGGCCAGAGGAGGGGGUCAACCCUCCCUGUUAAACGUGCUCUGCCUUUGGUUACCUGGUGUUGCUCUGGGAGGAAGACCAGCUUCGGGAGCAGGCUGUUGGGGUCUGCUGCAGAGGGUGGAAUACGUGCAGCCCAGCCGUCCUGCCUACCACACCCCUGGCAAGGAGCUGCACCUCGCUGAGCUCAGUUCCCCCAUCUGUAAAGGAGACCAGAAUAAUCCCAGCCUCACGAGGCCAUUGCCAGGACUGAGGGAAACUAUGCUAAUGACUGCCUAGGGUCAACUGAGUAAAGCACUCAGUUGAGGACAACCAUUAUGAUUUUUCUGAUUUCUGGCCAAGGACCCAGCACAGCCUACACCUGAAGCAUGCGACUAAGAGUGUGACCCCGGCAGGAGCGCCUAGGACACAUGGC
rnacentral:lncRNA from 1 species